rnacentral:rRNA from 1 species
GACGAACGCUGGCGGCGUGCUUAACACAUGCAAGUCGAACGGAAAGGCCCAGCUUGCGGGGUGCUCGCGUGGCGAACGGGUGUGUAACACGUGUGUGAUCUGCCCCUAACUUCGGGAUAAGCUUGGGAAACUGGGUCUAAUACCGGAUAGGACAACCGUUGAUGGUCGGUUGUGGAAAGUUUUUUCGGUUGGGGAUGAGCCCGCGGCCUAUCAGCUUGUUGGUGGGGUAAUGGCCUACCAAGGCGUCGACGGGUAGCCGGCCUGAGAGGGUGGACGGCCACAUUGGGACUGAGAUACGGCCCAGACUCCUACGGGAGGCAGCAGUGGGGAAUAUUGCACAUUGGGCGCAAGCCUGAUGCAGCGACGCCGCGUGGGGGAUGACGGCCUUCGGGUUGUAAACCUCUUUCGACAGUGACGAAGCUUUGGUGACGGUACCUGGAGAAGAAGCACCGGCUAACUACGUG